CUAAAGGUCCUUUUCAGGACCACUACAUGUUUUACUAAGGAGGUAA
rfam:Rattus norvegicus chromosome 17, whole genome shotgun sequence.